AUGGAAGGGGAUACGUUCCAGGAAGAGGUCAAAUGCCUCAUGGAGGUGAAGCACAAAAACGUCGCACAGUUUCUAGGAUAUUGUGCCGACACACAAGGGAGAGUGGUUGACUUUGAGGGAAGAUUUGUAAUGGCAGAUGCACGACGUCAGUUCCUCUGUUUUAAGUAUCUACGCAAAGAUACAUACAGUGGAGUUGAAUGGAGAGAGCACUAUGAAAUAAUCAAGGAAAUUGCAAGGGUUUAUGGUACCUUCACCGUAAUCAUAUUGUUCACUUGGACCUAA
rnacentral:rRNA from 1 species